AUGUAUGUAUGGUUACCGUUGGAGUCAGAGAAAAGGGCCAGAUGAUGGUACCCUGCAGGCUGAGGGGCAGCAAUAAACCAUGAUGGCAAUAGAGGAUCUGAGAUGAUGAGGACAGACACUUGAGCUGAGGAAGCAGUGCUAUCCACUGUCUUCCUCCUCUCAAGGAUGUAGGUAAUGUGGGAAGAUGGAGGGCUGACAGGAGAUGCUUGUAGGUGAUUCUCAGGGAGGUGUCUGAGAAACACUUUCAGCUACUUUCCCAAAGCUAAGUGUUUCCAAAGAUGCUUGAAACAGUUGUGUAGAGAACAGGAUGGACCAAACUGGGAGAUGACUGAGCACUGGAUGACCCUUGUGAUUCUCAGAGUGCUAUGAGGUGAGCCCUCUGUGACAUCACAGGGUAAAUCCCUGCCUUAGUAAUAGCAGACUGCUUAGCCUGCGGAUAACUCAAGAGUCCAGCAAGGAGGGCUGGGAUUCACACUGAGCACAUGUGUCUGCCUCGGCUUGGGCUGUUUUCUGGGAUGGACUACCUGAAAUUCAUCGCGUCCACUUCCAUAUGUGUGAAAGUGCAUGAGGAGGACAUGGAAUGAUGCUAUAUAUCUUGCUACAAAUAUGUAUAAACAGUUGCUAUUAAAGCAGUGUUGUUGAGUAUAUGCUUUUCUAGUAAGAUCAGAUUACCCUGAGAUUCUACCAUACACCGAUUGGAAUUGAAAAGAUCAUGAACUCAAGUGACAGCACAUGGUGACAAGGGUGUGGAGAAAGAGUUACACUCCACUAUUGCUGGUGGGAUUGCAAACUGGUACAACCACUCUGGAAAUCAAUCUGGCAGUACCUCAGAAAAUUGGAAAUAAUUCUACAUGAAGACCCAGAUAUUCUACUACUGGGCAUAUACACAAAAGAAGAUGCACAAUAACACAAGGACACAUGCUCCACUAUGUCCAAAGCUGCCAUAUUUGUAUUAGCCAGAAGCUGGAAACCAGAUGUUCUUCAACCAAGGAAUGAAUGUAGAAAAAAUGUGGUUCAACAACACAAUGGAAUACUGCUCAUCUAUUAAAACUGAGGACAUCAUGAAAUUUGCAGGCAAAUGGAGAGAACUAGAAAAUGUCAUCCUGAGUGAGGAACCCAGGCUCAAAAGGACUUACAUGUUAUGUCCUCACUGAUAAGUAGUUAUUUGGCAAAAAGAUCAGAAUAUCCAUGACCACAUAAAAUUUAAUUAGAAGGAAGGUCAAAUUGUGGAUACUUCAAUUCAACAUAGAAGGAGAAACAAAAUAAUCCCAGGAGGCAGAAGAAGGGAGGGAUGUGGAUAAAAGAGGGAGAGUCAGGGACAAUCGGUGGCAGGAUCAGGUAUGUGGGGAGACAGGAGAGAAGGACAGAGGGCCAGGAGUAUUAAUAGAAACAUACAACCGUGUGGGAAUGAAGAGCAGGGCAAAUAUCUAGAAAGUCCCAGACAAGAUGGAUGUGGAAGUCUCCCAAACCUCAUUGGGAAUGACCUUAGCCGAAAUGUCCAAGAGUGGGUAGACGGAACCUAAAUAGAAUAUCUCCAGCAGAGAGCAUGGCCCCCAUUUGAGGCAUGGGGGCACCUGACCAUCUUCAAAAUUUGGACCCAGAAUUGUUCAUAUCUAAUUAUAUGUAGUGACAAAAGUGGAGCAGAGACUGAAGAAAAUGCCAUCCAUUGCCUUUAUCAAUCCAUCCUAUGGGCAGAAAAAAAAAAAACCUUGACACUAUUACUGAAGCCAUGUUGUGCUAAGAAAGGAACCUGGCAUGACUGUCCUCUGACAGACUCUAUCAGGAGCUUAUUGACAAUGUUGCAGAUACAUAGAGCCAACCAUUGAGCUGAAGUCCAGGAGUGUUUUGUUGUUUAAGCCAUAUUUAUACAACCACAACUUAAAGACAGGUAAAACCUAAAACAUAAUUGCUAAAAUAUUGCUUGAGAUUCAAUCAAAAUUCAAAUAGUCUUUAAGAGAAUAAUAUUUAAAGACAUCAUGGGGAUGCAUAAUCUCCAUAAUCUCCAAUAAUCUUGACUAGGGAAGUGAUACAAUAGAAGAGUUAGAAACCAUGGAUGUAUGUGAAUAAUACCAACUUUGUUCCAACCACCAGGGAAAUAUAACUAUGAUAAAAAAUGAAAAAAAAAAAAGACAAGUUCAUCCUCUUAGAAAUUACUCUGGAAAUAUCCUCACAAUAAAAAAAUAUCAGGACAAGUCAAACAUACAUAGUAAUUUACCAACACAGUUAAGAAAUGCCCAGUAGAAAUUUGAGGGUCAGAGUUCUUAUGAGCAGCAGAGAAAGUCGUCUCAAUCUUGGUACAAUUCCUUUCUGCCCACUAGCCUAGCAAUUCCUUUGACCUGGGAGUUUCCAUGACUUCUUGGUUGCAGUUCCUGCCACUGCUCUAGUGACUGAAAAAAGAUUCCUAAGGCCUAAACUGGCAACAGUGCAGAUGAAGGGAAUUUUUCCAUUGUUGUGAGACCCAUGGCAGCGUGCUCUACUCCUAGUUCCACACCUUGCAGCUUGCAGACUCCUGACAAGGAGGGGAUUCUGAUCCCACUCCACUUCCUUCAGGCCUUCAGUUUCUCUUAGGAAUCCUCCUGCUAAAAAAGCAGUUUCAAUCAAGAAAUGAGUCUUCCUACCUACUCCUAAUGUUUCCCAUCCCCAUGUUCUCCCACCAGUUGUCUUGCUGCUAAAGAGAUAUUUUCUUUCCAUGCAAGGUACUGCCCUAGUCCUGCUGGGUUACUAAAAUUGUAGCCACUGGAAGAUCUUCUGGGAAUGUUCAUUAGUCUUCUGUAGUGUGGCUCUAAUUGUGUAUCUUACAAUGCUCAUCCACAAAUAGUGAAUGUUUCCAAAUUUGGUGAGCCUGUUUUCUUGGUCUUCAAACAUGAUAUUAUUAAUUUCCCUAAGCCAAUGACUUUCAUCUUUUUCAAUCUGCACAUGAUGCCUUCCACAUAAUUCCAACAGUGAGUCUACCUGAACCUAUGUUGUACACCCUCACCAUAUUCUUGUUGUACCAUAGACAAGAAGCAGGUGUAUAAAUGUUUAUAGAAUGAAGACAAUCAUAUUGUGUGAGGGGCAAAAGGUAAGUUGUGUAUUUGCUGUGCACAAUUUGGAACUUUUCACUGACACUGGAAAUAUCUGAAGAUUUGGGAUAAUUAUCUCUAAGUCAUCAGGCAGUGGGGCCUAGAAUCAUGCAACAUAAGAAACUGGAAUAUCCAGAGACUGUCCAGGUGGUUGUAAUUUCCUGACUGUUAAGGGCUACUUCAGAAGCCUAAAUUUAAAUUGCCUGGUGUGUGAGCAUCAGCAUCCAUGAUGCAGCACUUGAUAGAAAAUACUAAUGAUCAUUUGAAAACAAGGGCCUCUAAAGUGUCUAUUAGUAGUUUGAUCCUACUAAGGAAGAGGUCAACAAUUUCCAAUACUAAGAAUAACAUAUUAGUUAUCACUAAGUUUCUCAAAAGUUGAGAAUUUUCCUUAUUUUUUUAAAUCAAGGAAAAAUGUAUAGUGAUAUAGAUUUGUUCAACAAUUUCCACUUCUGAGAAUAACAUAAUGUUAUCACUAAGUUUCUCACAAGUUGAAAUUUGUCCUUAUUUUUUUAUAUCAAGGAAAAUGUGUAAAUAGAUUUGUUCAUUUUAACAUAUGACAUUUUCUUAGAUCCUAAUUUUCUGAGUCUUCCUGAAUUUACUAUAAAUAUUCUAAUAAAAUGCUUUUGCUUGGCAUAA